rnacentral:lncRNA from 1 species
UUUGGAUAAAAGGGGCUAUUAUUCAUUUCGUUUGACAUCAAACUGUAUUCUGAAAUUACAACAUCGAAGGUUGCAGCACAAUACACCAAAAGUGCAGCUAAAGAGGGGAAAGAAGCAUAUGUAAAUACACUGGCAUAUAUAUUCAAUUUGACAUCCAGCAAGUACCAACUGGAAUGCUAGAAACUUUGAAAGGCAAUUUGGAAUCGGAAGUUAGAUUGAUUUUGAAUAAAAAUUUUCCUCCUCCGUCGGUGGACACCAUUUUUGUAUGAGAACGCAACAUCACUAUUAUUCUUGGUGCUAGUGUUACUGCAAAAAAUAUCAAUGAAAAAACUUUAAAAUUUAAAUUUAUGAGUAAAAUAAUAAAUUUCUUGAGAAAAAUCAGCAUCAAGAACAAAUAUAUCACAUCAGAGUCAUAAGAAAAAUCUCACCACCAACAAUUAAAAUUAGAGAAAAAUUGAUAGGAUAAUUAAUACAACUUAUUUUUUUGUAUUUAUUUUUAUCAAAAAUUAAAUGGACAAAAUCAUAAUAGAGAAUACUACUUACUUGAAUUCAAGCUAGAUAAACAGAUUAGAGUGUAAUAUCACCAUCAUUCAUCUUGAUAUAAAAAGUGAAAUUGUUAAAAAAAAAAAUCUAAAAAUUAUAGAAUAUGAAGAAUGCACUAAAUAAACUAAUGAUCAAUAAUAAAUAAUAAAAUAAAACCAAAAAAAAAAAAAAAAACUUAGCAUUAUAAAUAAUUUUAGAAGUAUAUAUAGGAGAAGUUAAGUAGUAGAACUUCAUU